rnacentral:tRNA from 1 species
GUUUCUGUAGUGUAGUGGUUAUCACGUGCGCCUCACACGCGCAAGGUCCCCGGUUCAAUCCCGGGCGGAAACA